CCCUUCUUGUCCACAUCAAUGAAAAAUAAAACUUAAAAAACCGCCUCCUUCAUACCCCGUACCACCAUAACUUUCAAACCCUAAAAAUUCAUCAUCUCCCACACGGGUUAGAGCUACGAUUAACCCCAUAAUUUUGGAUGAAUUGUGUACUCAAUUUCCCUUCCUUGUGCUACUUGAAUUUCGGAGGUUUAUUUUCCCUUUUUCACGAAGAGUGGAGGUUUGAACGAAGAUUGGAGGUUUAAAAUUGAAGGUGUCUAAUCAGGAGGAAGACAUGCCGAACAUGGGUAUUCAUGGUUUAUUCGCUACUCUUGAAACAUGUUUGUUCUAUUUUUCUUGCAGCGUUAACAACUUAACCUGAGGUUUAUUUUUAUAGGUAUUCUGUUCUGUUAGGCAAAGCCUAAACUUAGGCCCUUGUUCCAUACUCCC